rnacentral:rRNA from 1 species
UACGGGAGGCAGCAGUGGGGAAUAUUGCACAAUGGGCGAAAGCCUGAUGCAGCUAUGCCGCGUGUAUGAAGAAGGCCUUAGGGUUGUAAAGUACUUUUCAUCGGGGAGGAAAAAACAAAACUAAUAAUUUUAUUUCUUGACGUUACCCGAAAAAGAAGCACCGGCUAACUCCGUGCCAGCAGCCGCGGUAAUACGGAGGGUGCUAGCGUUAAUCAGAAUUACUGGGCGUAAAGAGCACGUAGGUGGUUUUUUUAAGUCAGAUGUGAAAUCCCUGGGCUUAACCUAGGAACUGCAUUUUGAAACUGAAAUACUAGAGUAUCGUAGAGGGAGGUAGAAUUCUAGGUGUAGCGGUGAAAUGCGUAGAUAUCUGGAGGAAUACCUGUGGCGAAAGCGGCCUCCUAAACGAAUACUGACACUGAGGUGCGAAAGCGUGGGGAGCAAACAGGGAUUAAAAUACC